UUUUCGCACAUCCAUUGCACUUCCAAGGUGACUAGCCGACGGACAUCCCUGGAACUACCCAUUGAGUACAUAGAUAUCUAACGGAUGUUUGGCCAUGAUUCGGACAUCCGACGGCAGAAAUGUUCUAUAUGGGCUGAGCCUGACUGUGCCAACACUGUUAUUGGUAUUUCAUUACCAAACAACAAUAAUGUGUUUCAUUUGGCAGAUUGGUGGGAUUUGCCACGAGGCAUCAUGUGUAGCAAUUGCUACAAUCAGGUUCCAAACACCCAUCCCGUACGGCAACACGAAGAACGUGUGUGCCUAAGUUGUAGUCGUGGAAACUUGCCCCUCAAAACUAGGAGCGUAUAACAUAAGUUUGGGAUGAAAACAAUGAGCUUCCCACCAAUAACAAAUUUGGCAGUGAACUAAAUUGCUGUAAUCGGUCGCCAAUCCCGCGGGAAAUGUCUACAAAGCGAUAGCUUCAGUGAUCUCGUGAAGUUUACAAGAUGUUGGCAAAAUUUUCCACUAUGAAAUACUAUGACACAAAAUCUUGUCGGGUGUUUCGGUGGAAACGGUUCUGUCUUGGCAUUGUAUUCAACAAUGACUGCUCAUUUGGUUGAAAAUUCAAAAUGAGAAACAUUUGAGCCCUUGUCGCACAUUUUACCUCGUGUAAAUUGUUUCUAUCGUCCUGGCAUUGUCAAGGUUACAAUUGUAUUUUACAAAUUUUCAGCUUUAACUGUAAGAGCCAGUAAUUUGAUUGCUUUCAUUUUUUAUUUCGUGGAAAGUAAAAUUCUACCUAAGGAUAAAAUGUUUGUGGCAUAUGGCAAUGCUACUCGAAACAAGGCAACCAUUUUUGCACCUAUAGUUCUCAACGGAGACAAAUUUUUGACUACUUUAAUUAAUCAUGAAUCAACAACAUGAUUGGAAACCAUAAAAUGGGAUAAACAUUUUUUUUAAAUUCAUAUUUUUUUUUAUUGAAAUAGAUUUCUGUUGUUUUGCAGGAUGUUUUUCUAUGAUGUUUCCAACAAUUUCUGGCCGUAACCGUGGAGUAAAUUGGUUACAGAAUGUGACCGAAUACCUAACAUAAAAAGAAUACGGCGAAGAAAUUGCCAUGGAAAAUUGAUUUGUUUUUUUAUCAUACUUGUCAGAUUAGUGAAUUUAGGUUUGUGCAUCGUUAAUUUUAAUUUUUAGUUUACCACAAGCAAUUGCAGCCUUGGCGAAGUUGGCUUUCCCGUUUCUAGCUGCCACAUGUGUAACAGAAUUCCCAUUCUUCAAGCAUGGUUUCUUCACUUUAUCUCCCCCACAUCCCUCGUCACACAGCCUCCACUUGAACCUACCAUAAGACAGCAAGCAGCAACAGAAUAGACCUUUUUCCCAUCGACUCCCCAAAAGACACCUGCGCCGCUCGAAGACAUAUUCUUACAUCAGCCGACUAACACGAGAGCACCCUCGUCUAGCCAGAAACUCCCCGAACAUCUUCUUACCUGUUCCCACGCCUAGAAUAUUCAUGCACCUGCACGGCACGCGCCAGAACAUUCAACCCUUUUUAGAUUAAGAUCACAAUGCAUAAAUAACCGUAGAUAUCGAAAUAUUUUUACUAAUUAUUCACUUAAACCCUAGUGAAGUGACCUGUCCGAACUGUCACCACAGUUCGGGGGUAGCUUUAACACAGGACUAUUAAACACUAAUUUAUACCUCAAACUCACGCUUUCUCCAGUAAAUCUCAAGCUCUGAGACUCAGUUUAAGGUACCAUUCAGUUCAGUUAAGUUAAUUUUGUGAAUUAGACCCUUCCCUCACGCAUUGCUCAACUGUUAUAAUUGGUAUGUCACACCUCUAUUUAUUAAUGUCUGUAGAUUAGACUUAGUAGCCAAUACACUUGCAUUGUUGAUCAGA